AAAAGGAUCUACAACUAUAUGUGUGCAAGAUGGCUGCUGUCACACACAACAAUUGGGUGUAUCCUGAAGAUCCCUUUGCUUCUAACGAACAAAGUUUGAAUUUCAAUAUUUGUGAGAAGAUUGGAGGUUGUUUGAUUGCAGAUGAUGUGUUAAGAAUAAUUCUGAACGAUCUUAGAAAUCAGGCUCGAUUGCAUUUCGAGGGGCUAGAGAUUCAGAGCGACUUUAUUCGACAGGCAAGUGCAAGACAGGGAAUGAAAAUCAUAGCACCUGAUGAGUUUGAUGCCGUUAUACCGUUUACGAUCGCAAGACUUGAUCUUAAAGAAGUUCGUGUACUAGACAGUUUUGAUCAUUAUUUGCCUGGUCAGAUACGACUUCGUGUGGAAAAUGUUGCACAAAUUGAUAGGUAUCCAAGCCUGAAAAAAGCAGGAGUGUUUGAGAUGAAUUCCGGAAUAUGCUUCAUCAAUGCAAAGGCUUAACAGGAACAAGUUUUCAAAUCUCUAAUGGAUAAAGCAUUGUAUGUUCAGUCAUGGGCUCCAAAACCUUUAAACACUUCAAACAUAUAUUACGUUACAAGAGGAUCCAGACCCCCAACAAUCGAAUUGAAAAUCCAGCACGAUUUUGGGAUGUGCAAACGUGGAUUUUGUUCCUGCACUUGUUCUGGACACCGAAAUAGAGGCGUUCUGUCGGCUUCGUUCGACACACCUUAUAUCUUUCAAAGAUUUGGUCUAAUGAAAUGGGUUAACAAAGAGAAAGAAAACCAAUGCAUCGAUGAGAAUGACCGAAAUUUGAUAUGGCGAAGUUGUUCAUCGUCGUACGAGAAAUUCAUGUUCGACAUAUGCGAAGUCAACGAGGAAAGACUCUACAUCAGAACAGCGUGUCGCAUCAUGAAAACUCUUGUAAAGAUUCUAAGACCGCAUCAAAAUCAGGCAGCAGUUCUGCUGUCCUCCUAUCAUUUGAAGACCGUUGCCAUGUAUUGCAUCCUUCUGUUGACCGUACCUACAAACCUGACGUUACCGGGUUAUCGCCUCAGCGGGGUCCGCGAGGCUUUGGGAUACUUUCUGUUAUUUUUGGAGUCAGCACUGGAGAAAAAAGUUCUGCCAGAUUUUUUCCUCGGAAAUGAACACCUGGAUGAAAUAUUUCCGGGAUCGUAUUUCUCCAAAAUUCGCAUCAAAUACAACUUAUUUGAUAAAGAAACUCCGGAACUCGUAAACAUGGCGAUAUUCAGUUUUCCUGUAUUCAAAAAAGUUCUUGCUGGAUGUUUUGAUACCGCGAAUUUAGAGACAGAAUUCUUAUAUUGUAAAAUGAAUUGAGUGUUUGAACAGACUGCAGUCAUAACUUAUAAGCUGGUAAUAUAUACGUACAUAACAUU
rnacentral:sRNA from 1 species